CUACGGGAUGCUGCAGUGGGGAAUAUUGCACAAUGGGGGAAACCCUGAUGCAGCAACGCCGCGUGGAAGAUGACGCAUUUCGGUGUGUAAACUCCUUUUAUCAGUCAAGAACAUGACGGUAGCUGAUGAAUAAGCACCGGCUAACUCCGUGCCAGCAGCCGCGGUAAUACGGAGGGUGCAAGCGUUACUCGGAAUCACUGGGCGUAAAGGAUGCGUAGGCUGGAUGUCAAGUCAUAAGUGAAAUCCCACGGCUUAACCGUGGAACUGCUUGUGAAACUGGCAGUCUAGAAUGUGGGAGAGGCAGAUGGAAUUAGUGGUGUAGGGGUAAAAUCCGUAGAGAUCACUAGGAAUACCGAUUGCGAAGGCGAUCUGCUGGAACAUCAUUGACGCUGAGGCAUGAAAGCGUGGGGAGCAAACAGGAUUAGAUACCCCAGUAGUC
rnacentral:rRNA from 1 species